ensembl:lncRNA
AAUGAAAUGAGAGCAGAAGUGAAGGCCUCACUUCUGAACUGAAGCAGUUAAGAGCAGCAAGCUGAACAACCACCCACUCUCUGCUCUGCGCUCCUCUACUCGUUGAAGAAGAGUCCCUUUGAGCUCAGAAAAAGUUGAGAAUCUAGCUAUUCAAAGGCUGAAUGAAGGAACCGAGGACUGAAGAAUGCAGAACUGGUGAAUGCGAAGCACUGGGAUUGGCAGUUGGGUGAAUCUGCAAAUGCAGAACUGGACGUGGAGGGCUGUUUGGACCUGCAGGAGCCCACCAGUUGGACUCAAAGAAACUGGUCACGUGGGGACUUGAAGAAUUGUGGAGUACAGAUUCUCUCUAAAGGGAUGGAUGCAAUGGGGUUCCAGCAGAUUGUUGCCAUGUGGAAUGCAAAUCCAGGAUCACUGGGUCUUCUGACUUCUCAAGAGAUACUUCAAAUACAGAUUUUAUAUGAAAUCUGAAUUUUAAAUGCUGGCAACUAAUUACAUUUAAACAGUGUUUGUGGGCCAAACAAAGAACAUGUGCUUGUGCAUAUGAUGUCUUGAAACCAGCUUGCAGCCCUCAGGGACUUGUGGGGUGGACGUGUGCCUCUUUCCUAAGUAAUUACCCAUGGGGGGGAAAUAUGUAAUCAUUUUGGAAUUGCUAUUGAACCAGUGCAAGUUCAUCAACUCAGCUCUAUAAAU